GACGAACGCUGGCGGCGCGCCUAACACAUGCAAGUCGAACGGAGCUGAGAGAAGCUUGCUUUUCUUAGCUUAGUGGCGAACGGGUGAGUAACGCGUGAGUAACCUGCCCUGGAGUGGGGGACAACAGUUGGAAACGACUGCUAAUACCGCAUAAGCCCACGAUCCGGCAUCGGAUUGAGGGAAAAGGAUUUAUUCGCUUCAGGAUGGACUCGCGUCCAAUUAGCCAGUUGGUGAGGUAACGGCCCACCAAGGCGACGAUUGGUAGCCGGACUGAGAGGUUGAACGGCCACAUUGGGACUGAGACACGGCCCAGACUCCUACGGGAGGCAGCAGUGGGGGAUAUUGCACAAUGGGGGAAACCCUGAUGCAGCGACGCCGCGUGGAGGAAGAAGGUUUUCGGAUUGUAAACUCCUGUCGUUAGGGACGAUAAUGACGGUACCUAACAAGAAAGCACCGGCUAACUACGUG
rnacentral:rRNA from 1 species